rnacentral:rRNA from 1 species
UACGUAGGGUCCGAGCGUUGUCCGGAAUUACUGGGCGUAAAGAGCUCGUAGGUGGUUUGUCGCGUUGUUCGUGAAAACUCACAGCUCAACUGUGGGCGUGCGGGCGAUACGGGCAGACUUGAGUACUGCAGGGGAGACUGGAAUUCCUGGUGUAGCGGUGGAAUGCGCAGAUAUCAGGAGGAACACCGGUGGCGAAGGUGGGUCUCUGGGCAGUAACUGACGCUGAGGAGCGAAAGCGUGGGGAGCGAACAGG